rnacentral:rRNA from 1 species
UACGUAGGGGGCUAGCGUUGUCCGGAAUCAUUGGGCGUAAGAGCGUGUAGGCGGUCCGGUAAGUCCGCUGUGAAAGUCGGGGGCUCAACCCUCGAAUGCCGGUGGAUACUGUCGGGCUAGAGUGCGGAAGAGGCGAGUGGAAUUCCGUGGUGUAGCGGUGAAAUGCGCAGAUAUCAGGAGGAACACCUAUUGCGAAGGCAGCUCGCUGGGACGUAACUGACGCUGGAGACGCGAAAGCGUGGGGAGCAACCGG